AAGUCGUAACAAGGUAACCGUAGGUGAACCUGCGGUUGGAUCAUUAAAAAUCCUUGAGAUUGGGUCGCAAGAUGCCUCUCUCGACUUGGCCUUUGGCCUUGAACCCACUGUGAACUGUGAUUGUCUCUGGCAGAAGCUUUUGUGACUGCCAGCCAAUUCUUGAACCUGAUUUUGUUUGUCUUAAUGAAAUUCUAAUGAAUACAACUUUUGACAAUGGAUCUCUAGGCUCUC
rnacentral:misc_RNA from 1 species